GAAUAGGAGAGGGCACUGGGGUGAGGCCUGGGCAACUCCCCUUUUCCCCUUUCUCCAACCAGGAAGGCAGCACACGCCCUAUCUUCAUGUCCCCAUGCUCCUGCCAAGGAAGAGCUCUGAGAGGUCUAAAGAAAACCAGAAAACCUGUGACAUUGUUUGUCUGGACAAAUACCCAAAAGAUGACCUCUGGGUUCAUUAUAACCUGGCCCAUCAGCUGACACUCUCAGAAGCCAAGGACCUGGAGAAGAGGAGGGGAAGCCUGGGAGUCUCACGUGCGGGUUGGAGAAGCUGGUGCCCGCUGUCUGAGUUCCAGACGAAGUUGAGCAAUCGGAACCUAGGCUCCCAGUGGGAAUCCCAGGAACCUCGCCGCCCCAGAGGGAGAAGCUGGCGGCCCGGCGCGAUCCCUGCCUGAGUUUGGGAACCCAGCAGAGCCUGGGUUCAGGAGGAAGAAUUGGAGAGGCUGGUGCCCACCCGCCGCCCAAGUUCUAGGAGCCGUCUGCCCUUUUCUCCACCGUGAAAAGUCAGCGCUGGAGCUUAGAAAAAAAGAGACUAGGAGCUCCGCCGCCCCAGAGUCCCUUCAACUCCAAGCUGAGCGCAGUGGGCGGUGGCAUGCACCGGCAAUCCCAGCUACUCGGGAGGCUAAGGUGGGAGGAUCGCUUGAGCCCAGG
rnacentral:lncRNA from 1 species